UCGGAUAGAUAAAGUCACAUCUCAUAAUAUGACACAUUUGUCUUCACAUAUAUCCAGUAUUCUUCAUCUAAACCUUACCUCAGUUUGUAAUGGGCCUUUUUAUGCCCUUACAGUUUGAGUGGCUGAAGUCCAGUCAAGAACUAACUAGUUUCCCAUGCACCACAAGCUUAGGCUUAAUAAUUUGCACGCUGAGUGCAUUUGCUAUCACUAGAGAAAUUAUUUGUUUAUGUAUUCCCAGGGCAGUUUUUAGAGCUUUGAUGAUAAUAUCUAUUGUUCCUGAAUCUUAAUGUUGUGGGCCAUGCGGUAAGAACUCCUUGACAUCUAUCAGAAUGUAUUGGCCGAGGAGAGAUUCAAACGAAUUAUUGAUACAUUAUCAAAUUCUGAUUCCACAUAUUCUGUUCUCUGCUGUUAGUCAUAUGGAUUUGGAUUCUGGGUUCCUAUCACUAGAGAACUUCAAAGCUGCCCUUUCAAGUAUCCAAAGGCAGCCAAAGGUGGAAUGUUUAAAAGGUUAAUGCUGUUGCCCCAGGGUUCAUUGCAUCUGAUAUGACUGCUAAGCUUGGGGGAGACAUUGAGAAGAAAAUCUUGGAAACCAUCCCCUUGAAACUCAUUUUGAAUCAUUUAACAUGAAUCGAAUUGUGAAUCAUGCGAUUCACUAUCGAUUCUGUCUCAAAAUAGAUUCACAUCGAUCUAUGCAUGAAUCAUGAAUUGAAUCGUGAAUCAAAUCACGAAUUGUAAGAUAUUGAUAUGAUAGGUACUAUUUUCAACCACCAUUUUACCUCUUAAUUAAUGGGAACAGUAGGCCGUUAUUGCUGUUAGAGAUAGACUUUUGUUUUGUGGAAGUUUAGUUUUUUAGUGGAUCUAGAGUUGACUACGAUGCUCCUGGACACUCAUGUACUACUAUGUUUUACAGUGCCGAUGGAAGUAGGUAAGGUUAUUGAAAUUAAAGAUAUCAAACAUGAUGUAGAUUGUUCUCUUGUGGAACGGGUAAAGAUGGGGAUUCUUUCCUUGUUGAAUGGAAUGAAAGUGAAGGAGCAAUAAAGAGGACAUACUCUGGGUUCAGAAAGAAAUCUGUUGGUGUUGUGCAGUUUGACACUACUCAAAACCACUUUUUGGCCGUGGGUGAAGAUCACCAAAUAAAGUUUUGGAACAUGGACAAUAACGACAUUCUCACUAGUAUGGAUGCAGAGUG